GGCCAUCUGAUGCACUAUCUAGUAAUACAUCAUAGGUGGACUUAAUUCUGCUAGAUCGGUCCAUUCCAUAACCUAUUCUAGUUGCAUCAGUCAAGACAAUUUGCUUAUUCACAAAUAUUGGUGCCUUACAUCUUCUGGCAACAUUAAUGGCAUCGGAGGGACGAGCAUCCACACUAAUAAUAUCUUUUUCCCCUGCCUUGUGGAAAAAUAUUCUGGCAAAAUAAGUACUAGUCACUCUUUCUGUAAUCUUCACCAUUUUAACUUCAUAGCCAGAUUUCAACAAUAGAUUCCUCAAAAGCAGGAACUCGUCGGGGCAAUCCCCAGUCUCCUCCUCAUGCA
rnacentral:misc_RNA from 1 species